AUCGAACGCUGGCGGCAGGCCUAACACAUGCAAGUCGAACGGUAACAGGAAACAGCUUGCUGUUUCGCUGACGAGUGGCGGACGGGUGAGUAAUGUCUGGGAAACUGCCUGAUGGAGGGUGAUAACUACUGGAAACGGUAGCUAAUACCGCAUAACGUCGCAAGACCAAAGAGGGGGACCCUCGGGCCUCUUGCCAUCGGAUGUGCCCAGAUGGGCUUAGCUUUUUGGUGGGGUAACGGCUCACCAAGGCGACGAUCCCUAGCUGGUCUGAGAGGAUGACCAGCCACACUGGAACUGAGACAGGGUCCAGACUCCUACGGGAGGCAGCAGUGGGGAAUAUUGCGCAAUGGGGGCGAGCCUGAUGCAGCCAUGCCGGGUGUAUGAAGAAGGCCUUAGGGUUGUAAAGUACUUUCAGCGGGGAGAAAGGGAGUAAAGUUAAUACCUUGGCUCAUUGACGUUACCCGCAGAAGAAGCACCGGCUAACUCCGUG
rnacentral:rRNA from 1 species